UACAGAGGGGGCGAGCGUUGUUCGGAAUUACUGGGCGUGAAGGGCGCGUAGGCGGCCUUCUAAGUCGAACGUGAAAUCCCCGGGCUCAACCCGGGAACUGCGUCCGAUACUGGGAGGCUUGAAUCCGGGAGAGGGAUGUGGAAUUCCAGGUGUAGCGGUGAAAUGCGUAGAUAUCUGGAGGAACACCGGUGGCGAAGGCGGCAUCCUGGACCGGUAUUGACGCUGAGGCGCGAAAGCCAGGGGAGCAAACGGG
rnacentral:rRNA from 1 species